rnacentral:tRNA from 1 species
GGAUUGCUUAGUCAGGUAGAGCAUGAGACUCUUUAUCUCAGGGUCAUGGGUUUGAGCCUCAUGUUGGGCA